rnacentral:rRNA from 1 species
AGUCGAGGGGCAUCAGGAAGAAGCUUGCUUUCUUUGCUGGCGACCGGCGCACGGGUGAGUAACACGUAUCCAACCUGCCCUUUACUCGGGGAUAGCCUUUCGAAAGAAAGAUUAAUACCCGAUGGGAUAAUUAUUCCGCAUGGUUUGAUUAUUAAAGGAUUCCGGUAAAGGAUGGGGAUGCGUUCCAUUAGGUUGUUGGUGAGGUAACGGCUCACCAAGCCUUCGAUGGAUAGGGGUUCUGAGAGGAAGGUCCCCCACAUUGGAACUGAGACACGGUCCAAACUCCUACGGGAGGCAGCAGUGAGGAAUAUUGGUCAAUGGGCGCUAGCCUGAACCAGCCAAGUAGCGUGAAGGAUGAAGGCUCUAUGGGUCGUAAACUUCUUUUAUAUAAGAAUAAAGUGCAGUAUGUAUACUGUUUUGUAUGUAUUAUAUGAAUAAGGAUCGGCUAACUCCGUGCCAGCAGCCGCGGUAAUACGGAGGAUCCGAGCGUUAUCCGGAUUUAUUGGGUUUAAAGGGAGCGUAGGUGGACUGGUAAGUCAGUUGUGAAAGUUUGCGGCUCAACCGUAAAAUUGCAGUUGAUACUGUCAGUCUUGAGUACAGUAGAGGUGGGCGGAAUUCGUGGUGUAGCGGUGAAAUGCUUAGAUAUCACGAAGAACUCCGAUUGCGAAGGCAGCUCACUGGACUGCAACUGACACUGAUGCUCGAAAGUGUGGGUAUCAAACAGGAUUAGAUACCCUGGUAGUCC